AUUGAACGCUGGCGGCAUGCUUUACACAUGCAAGUCGAACGGCAGCGCGGACUUCUGUCUGGCGGCUAGUGGCGGACGGACGAGUAAUUUAUCUAAACGUGCCCAGUUGCGGGGGAUGACUAAGUGCAAGCAUAACUAAUACCUCACACGCCCUACCGGUGGAAGCAAGGGAGCGUCAGACCUUGCUCGUUUUGAGCGACCGAUAGCGGAUUAGCUAGUUGGUGAGGUAAGGGCUGACCAAGCCAGCGAUCCGUAGCUGGUUUGAGAGGACGACCAGCCACACUGGGACUGAGACACGGCCCAGACUCCUACGGGAGGCAGCAGUGGGGAAUUUUGGACAAUGGGGGCAAGCCUGAUCCAGCAAUCCCGCGUGCAGGAUGAAGGCCUUCGGGUUGUAAAGUACUUUUGGAAGGAAAGAAAAGUCGCUGGCUAAUAUCUAGAGAACAUGACGGUACCUGAAGAAUAAGCACCGGCUAACUACGUG
rnacentral:rRNA from 1 species